AUUGAACGCUGGCGGCAUGCUUUACACAUGCAAGUCGAACGGUAACAGGCCGCAAGGUGCUGACGAGUGGCGAACGGGUGAGUAAUGCAUCGGAACGUGCCCAGUCGUGGGGGAUAACUGCUCGAAAGAGCAGCUAAUACCGCAUACGAUCUAUGGAUGAAAGCGGGGGACCGUAAGGCCUCGCGCGAUUGGAGCGGCCGAUGUCAGAUUAGGUAGUUGGUGGGGUAAAGGCUCACCAAGCCAACGAUCUGUAGCUGGUCUGAGAGGACGACCGCACACACUGGGACUGAGACACGGCCAAGACUCCUGCGGGAGGCAGCAGUGGGGAAUUUUGGACAAUGGGGGCAACCCUGAUCCAGCAAUGCCGCGUGCAGGAAGAAGGCCUUCGGGUUGUAAACUGCUUUUGUACGGAACGAAACGGUCUGGGUUAAUACCCUGGGCUAAUGACGGUACCGUAAGAAUAAGCACCGGCUAACUACGUGCCAGCCGCCGCAGUAAUAC
rnacentral:rRNA from 1 species